GACGAACGCUGGCGGCGUGCUUAACACAUGCAAGUCGAACGGAAAGGCUCCAGCUUGCUGGAGUACUCGAGUGGCGAACGGGUGAGUAACACGUGGGUAAUCUGCCCUGCACUCUGGGAUAAGCCUGGGAAACUGGGUCUAAUACUGGAUAUGACCUUUCUCCUUAUGGGGUUUGGUGGAAAGUUUUUCGGUGUAGGAUGAGCCCGCGGCCUAUCAGCUUGUUGGUGGGGUGAUGGCCUACCAAGGCGACGACGGGUAGCCGGCCUGAGAGGGUGAUCGGCCACAUUGGGACUGAGAUACGGCCCAGACUCCUACGGGAGGCAGCAGUGGGGAAUAUUGCAUAAUGGGCGGAAGCCUGAUGCAGCGACGCCGCGUGAGGGAUGACGGCCUUCGGGUUGUAAACCUCUUUCAGCAGGGACGAAGCGUAAGUGACGGUACCUGCAGAAGAAGCACCGGCUAACUACGUG
rnacentral:rRNA from 1 species